rnacentral:rRNA from 1 species
UGGACAUUGCAAAGAGUGGCGAACGGGUGAGUAACACGUGGGAAACCUACCUCUUAGCGGGGGAUAACAUUUGGAAACAGAUGCUAAUACCGUAUAACAAUAGCAACCGCAUGGUUGCUACUUAAAAGAUGGUUCUGCUAUCACUAAGAGAUGGUCCCGCGGUGCAUUAGUUAGUUGGUGAGGUAAUGGCUCACCAAGACGAUGAUGGAUAGCCGAGUUGAGAGACUGAUCGGCCACAAUGGGACUGAGACACGGCCCAUACUCC